CAGUCGCCGCGGGAAUACGUAGGGUGCGAGCGUUAAUCGGAAUUACUGGGCGUAAAGCGUGCGCAGGCGGUUUUGUAAGACAGGCGUGAAAUCCCCGGGCUCAACCUGGGAAUGGCGCUUGUGACUGCAAAGCUAGAGUGCGGCAGAGGGGGAUGGAAUUCCGCGUGUAGCAGUGAAAUGCGUAGAGAUGUGGAGGAACACCGAUGGCGAAGGCAGCCCCCUGGGCCAAUACUGACGCUCAUGCACGAAAGCGUGGGGAGCAAACAGGAUUAGAUACCCGUGUAGUCCCUGUCUCUUAUAC
rnacentral:rRNA from 1 species